GCANGUCGAACGGGACUAAGUAGCAUACUUAGUUCANUUCCNCACGGGUGCGUAACGCGUAUGCAACCUACCUUAAACUGNUCCNAUAGCCUUCCGAAAGGGAGAUUAAUACCGCAUAAUACUAUUUGAGGGCAUCUGAGGAUAGUUAAAGAUUUAUUGGUUUAAGAUGGGCAUGCGUGCCAUUAGCUAGUUGGUAGGGUAACGGCCUACCAAGGCGACGAUGGCUAGGGGUUCUGAGAGGAUGAUCCCCCACACUGGCACUGAGAUACGGGCCAGACUCCUACGGGAGGCAGCAGUAGGGAAUAUUGGGCAAUGGGCGAAAGCCUGACCCAGCCAUGCCGCGUGCAGGAAGAAGGCCUUCUUGGUUGUAAACUGCUUUUAUCUGGGAAGAAAAAGCCCCUGCGGGGGAAACUGACGGUACCAGAGGAAUAAGCACCGGCUAACUCCGUGCCAGCAGCCGCGGUAAUACGGAGGGUGCAAGCGUUGUCCGGAUUUAUUGGGUUUAAAGGGUGCGUAGGCGGCCCGGUAAGUCAGUGGUGAAACCUCCAGCUCANCUGGAGAACUGCCAUUGAUACUGCCGGGCUUGAGUACAGACGAGGUUGNCGGAAUUGAUAGUGUANCGGUGAAAUGCAUAGAUACUAUCCAGAACUCCCNAUUGCGUAGGNCAGCUUACUANGCUGUACUGACGCUGAGGCCCAAAGCNNGGGGAGCGANAGGAUUAANACCCUGGUAUCCNCCCUGUNAACAAUGUGACNCCANUUUGGGAUAANUGNCACGGCUAACNAANNGUUAAUCUUCCCUGGGGGUCCCNGCAGGGGAACUCAAGGAUUGGGGGGCCACUGUCAGCGUCUAAGCGAAAGCGUUAAGUCAUCCACCUGGGGAGUACGCCUGCAAGGGUGAAACUCAAAGGAAUUGAGGGGGGCCCGCACAAGCGGUGGAGCAUGUGGUUUAAUUCGAUGAUACGCGAGGAACCUUACCUAGGCUAGAAUGCGCGUGACCGCCUCAAAGAUGAGGCUUUCCUUCGGGACACAAAGCAGGGUGCUGCAUGGCCGUCGUCAGCUCGUGCCGUGAGGUGUUGGGGUUAAGUCCCGCAACGAGCGCAACCCCUAUCUUUAGUUGCCAGCACAUGAUGGNUGGGGNACUCUAAAGAGACUGCCUGCNCAAGCAGUGAGNAAGUGGGGAUGACCUCNGGUCAUCAUGGCCCUUACNCCUA
rnacentral:rRNA from 1 species